GACGAACGCUGGCGGCGUGCCUAAUACAUGCAAGUAGAACGCUGAAGGAGGAGCUUGCUCUUCUGGAUGAGUUGCGAACGGGUGAGUAACGCGUAGGUAACCUGCCUGGUAGCGGGGGAUAACUAUUGGAAACGAUAGCUAAUACCGCAUAAGAGUAGAUGUUGCAUGACAUUUACUUAAAAGGUGCAAUUGCAUCACUACCAGAUGGACCUGCGUUGUAUUAGCUAGUUGGUGGGGUAACGGCUUACCAAGGCGACGAUACAUAGCCGACCUGAGAGGGUGAUCGGCCACACUGGGACUGAGACACGGCCCAGACUCCUACGGGAGGCAGCAGUAGGGAAUCUUCGGCAGUGGACGGAAGUCUGACCGAGCAACGCCGCGUGAGUGAAGAAGGUUUUCGGAUCGUAAAGCUCUGUUGUAAGAGAAGAACGAGUGUGAGAGUGGAAAGUUCACACUGUGACGGUAUCUUACCAGAAAGGGACGGCUAACUACGUG
rnacentral:rRNA from 1 species